GGGUCGAUCGUAUAACGGGAGUGCACCUGCCUUUUAAGCAGCGAGGCGAAGGUUCGACACCUUCUCGACCCA
rnacentral:tRNA from 1 species